AGGCGUGGGCCGGGAGAGAGGCAGGCAGACAGAGGAGCGAGGACGCAGAGAGGAGCUGACGGAGCAUUAAUGAGAUACUGGCCGGUUAGAGUUACAGGGAUGCACUUUUAGCCGUAUUCCACCACUGUUUUCAGGCUUCAUCUGCGGAAUCGAAAGCGCCACAAAACUGGGACAAUCUCACAAGUUAAAACAAACUCGGGUGGAUUAAUUUAUUCUCAAAUAUGGGCUUGGAACGAUUUCGCGUAAAGACGCCGGGGAGAGCAGCCCUCCUCACCCGCUCGCUACUUUGUAUCAGCGGGCUAUUACUCACUUUUCUUCAGCCUGUCUGCGAGGCGUUCAACUUGGACGUGGAGAACCCAGCUGUUUACAGCGGACCUAACGGGAGCUACUUCGGAUAUGCUGUUGACUUUUAUUUGGCUGACUCUGCCAGUGCGAGCGUGGUGGUGGGAGCUCCCAAGGCCAGCACAAGGCAGGUUAACAUUAGAGAGGGAGGAUCUGUCUUCUACUGUCCGUGGAGCCUCAGCCAAUCAGACUGUCACACCAUUGAGUUUGAUACUGAAGGGGAUCGCAAGGUCCUGCUCAACGACACAGAACAUCAGGUCGAUUUCAAGUCCCACCAAUGGUUCGGAGCCACUGUGCGUUCUCACGGUGACACAAUUCUGGCCUGCGCCCCUCUCUACUCCUGGCGUACUGAAAAAGAUGUCCCCCGUUCUGAUGCAACAGGAACCUGCUACCUCUCAGUGCAUAAUUUCACCAAGUUUGUGGAGUAUGCACCCUGCCGCACAGAGAUCAGUGAUCCGGUGGGACAAGGCUACUGUCAGGGAGGAUUCAGCGCUGACUUCACAACGGAUGGCAAAGUGGUGUUGGGAGGGCCAGGCAGCUACUAUUGGCAAGGUCAGGUGAUCUCUGCAGCGAAGGAGGAAAUUAUCAAAGCAUACUACCCGGGCUAUUUUAUGCAGUCUGUGGGCGGCCAGAUCCAAACCAAACAGGUCGAGUCUAAACAUGAUGACAGCUACCAAGGCUACUCUGUUGCUGUUGGGGAAUUCAGUGGCGAUCAAGUGGAAGAUUUUGUGGCCGGUGUUCCAAAAGGACUCAUGCUUUAUGGUUCGGUGUCUGUUCUGAACGGUACAGAUCUGAAGACCAUGAUCAACUACACUGGCGAGCAGAUGGGAUCAUAUUUUGGCUACGCCGUGGCAUCGACUGACAUAAACAGUGAUGGGAUGGCUGACCUGCUGGUGGGAGCUCCCAUGUUCAUGGUCCGGGGCUCUGAUGGUCGUCUGGAAGAGAUGGGCCGGGUCUAUGUUUACCUACAGCGUGGCCCUGUGGACCUGGAGCUCCGCCUACCUCAACUGACAGGCAACCAGGUGUAUGGGAGAUUUGGUAGCACCAUUGCACCAUUGGGAGAUCUGAACCAGGAUGGUUACAAUGACGUGGCUAUCAGCUGCCCGUUUGGAGGAGAGGAACGGCAGGGACUUGUCUACAUCUAUAAUGGAUACUCAGAAGGACUCAGGGAAAAGCCAUCUCAGGUGAUCACUGGCCAGUGGGCCGCUGGGAGUAUUCCUGCCAGCUUUGGAUUUUCCCUCAGGGGUGCUCAGGACCUGGACAUGAAUGGAUACCCAGAUCUCAUUGUCGGUGCUUUUGGUGUUAGUAAGGCAGUUCUAUACAGAUCCCGCCCAAUCGUCAACACCAGUGCCUCUCUGACAGUUUACCCCACCAUGAUCAACCCUGAAGAGAAGAACUGCAUCGUCACCAGUGGAAACACCAGCAUUCCUGUUUCCUGUGUCAACCUGAGUUUCUGCAUAUCUGCCGAUGGGAAGCACCUACCAGACAUCUUAGAUUUCCAGGUGGAGGUGCAGCUCGAUAGCAAUAAACACAAGCAGAAAGGUGCAGUGAGGAGGGCUCUGUUCUUGGAUUCCCAGCAGCCCUCGCUCCAGAGGAGUGUGAGAGUGCGGCAUGGCGAGCGUGUGUGCAACAACACCAAGAUCUACCUAAGAGAUGAGAAAGACUUCAGAGAUAAACUCUCCCCCAUUUAUGUGGCCUUGAACUUCAGCUUGGAUCCAAAAGCUGCUGCCGACUCCCACGGCCUGCGGCCCAUCCUCAACUAUCAGACCACCAGCGUAAUUGAGCAGAAGGCUCAGAUUCUGUUGGACUGUGGAGAAGACAACAUCUGUGUUCCUGACUUGAAGCUUGCAGUUCAUGGGAACAGGAAGGAAGUCUACCUGGGCGAUGACAACUCGCUGACCUUGACUUUCAAUGCCAGGAACGAGGGUGAGGGAGGGGCGUAUGAGGCAGAGCUGUAUGUGGUGCUGCCCCCAGAAGCUGACUACAGCGGUAUUGCACGCAACAAUGAGAGCCUGGCUCAGCUGACCUGCAGCUAUGAGACAGAGAACCAGACCCGAUACCUCAGCUGUGAUUUGGGCAACCCGAUGAAGUCUGGUACCAGUCUGUGGGCAGGUCUACGCUUCACAGUGCCACGACUGAAGGACACACACAAAACUGUUCAGUUCGAGCUGCAGAUUCGCAGUAAAAAUGAGAAUAACUCCCACAGCGAGGUUGUGCCCUACAAGCUGGAGGUCGUUGUCCAGGCUGAAGUCAUUCUGCAGGGCGUGUCUCGACCAGAUAAAGUCUUCUUCCCACCGGCCAACUGGAAGGUGACCAAAAACUAUGGGGUGGAGCAGGACGUUGGGCCUGCGGUGGAACACAUCUAUGAGCUGGUGAACAACGGGCCCAGCCGGAUCAGUCACACCCUACUGGAGCUGCGCUGUCCCCUCAGUGUCCAGGGUCAAAACCUGCUUUACCCUCUGAAGUUCUCCACAGAAGGCCCCAUCAACUGCACAGCUGAUAAAUACAUGAACCACAAACGCCUCAAACUCCAGCCCACGUCCACAGAACCACCUAUCCUUGCUCUGAAGGCACACGAGCACCGCAUUGAGAGGAGGGACGUCCACAGGAAUCCACUUGCUCAUUUGACUAACCUGUCUUGCUCUAACACGGAGUGCUGGGCGCUCCAGUGCACCGUGGGUCUGCUGGAGAAGGGGACGACUGCCAUCCUGAAAGUGCGCUCCCGCGUCUGGGCUGAGACCUUCACUGAGAGAGCCUACAAGCAGUAUGUGCUGGAGUGCCUGGCCAGAUACAGUGUGGAGAAGAUGCCUUACGCCAUCCUGCCCAGGCAUUAUCCCAGUGGACACAAAAAGGUGGUGACCCCAGUGGUGUGGAACAAGCCAGAUAUCGAGAACUCAGUUCCUCUGUGGAUCAUCAUCUUGGCCAUUCUGGCUGGUUUACUGCUCCUGGCUCUGCUCAUCUACGUCCUGUACAAGUUCGGCUUCUUUAAGCGCUCUCUACCGUACGGCACCGCCAUGGAGAAGGCUCAACUCAAACCACAGGCUGCCUCUGAGGCCUAAAAAGACAAGCGUAGCCUCCAGAACCACAGUACCUGGCCAUAUGAUUGCAACAGAGAAAUACGAUGGAUCAUGUAGAGUGGAUCAGAAAGCAGUUUGAAGCGAAAGAGAGACCACUGGAACUCCACUGUGCUGCACUAGAGAAAGACAAAAACCCAAAGAUCUCUCAGCCAAAUGAAUGUUACUUUUUUUGUUAAUUUAUGUCUUGCUUUUUGGCAGGUUGGGAUUGUUACCAAAUAGGACUUUUUCUCAAUGCAUCAUGGCUAAUGUUAGCCACCGUCAGCCUGCGGAUGCAGUGAGAUGAUUUCUUUUUGUGGAGAGUUCUGUUUCACCCCGUUAACUGCCUUAUUUUGGUGCUAAUGAUCUGACGCGCUCACUGCCUCUGACAGGAUAUGGCUGCAUGUAGCUUGGCAGCCAGGAGCUGUGACUUGCGCUGCCUGCGGAGGCCUGAAAUUAUUCUUCUGGUAUCCUCUGAACACAGUUUUAUUGACAGAAGAUCAGUCAACAGGUUUCAGGUGGAAAAAUUAACCUGGCGAUAGCAGCGUCAAUGUUACCAGCCUGGAAGUUGAACCUUAAUCCAUUUAAUAGCUCUGCUUUUAUAACAACAUUUAAAGUUUUAGGUAAUUUUAACCCUGACCAGCCCGAGGUGUUCCCCUGAUUUUUGCCUAAUACAUGCUGGGAUAUGCUCCGGCACCCCGCCACCCUGAACAGGAUAAGCGGGCGUGGAAAAUGCAUGGAUGGAUGUUUCGUAACUGUCCAUGAAAAGUAUCUCUCUGCCUCAGGUUGUUGGACAGCGCUGGGUUGAGUUGUUUUUGCACUCAAAGGAAAUCUACUGAUAUAAUUCCUGAGACACCGAAGACUGACUGACUGACUGACCUUCCUUUGAGUUCUGAUUUUGACUCCUACUGAUCACUUUGUUUAAAUCCUUGUUCAUGUUCAGAGUUACCAAUGCUGGCAUCGUCAUUGUUGUGUAGUCGACUGGGAUGGGACUGGAACCACCGCAGACCUGUGAAACUUCACAUUGUGGUGCUUCUGUCCAAAAAAAAAAAAAAAAAUGGCGUUCUCCUAAAGAAUACUUUACUCAGUUUGAGUCUAGCUCAUUCAGCGUGAAGACCACGUGCACGCAAAUGACGCUUAGGGGACACCGCAGAGUUGAUGCGCCAUGGUGUGAUGAUGUCUUUAACCAAAGACGUGACAAUCAGCAAUGUUGUAGCUUUGACAGAGAGUUUUAGUCUGAGAGCAGGCGGGACCGUCACUCUUUGUGAGGAUCCAUUUUCAGCUCACAGUGCGUGUUACUGUGAGAUACUGUAUUUUUGAUUGUCUUUUGAGUAACAGCUGCCCACGUUUAGAGAGAGAAGUGGCUGAAGUCAUCCCACUACCAAAAGGCUACAGGGACUGAACAUGAAAAAUGCUUUGUGUUGGUUUGUUUUAUUUGUCAUGUACAUAGAUUUCAUGUGCCUUAAAUGUAAAUAAUGUUAGGGGUUAGGGUUGUGUGUGCUUGCAUGGAUAUAUGUGUGACUUCAUGCAUACAUGCAUACGUGUGAAUGGUAUAUUUAUGAAUGUUUGUUUUGUGUAUGAAACGGUUAUUGCCUUUCCCAGUGCUUAGUUUAUCCCUAUCACCUCUGUAGUUUAAAUCAUUGAGGUUAAGCCAUUCUGCAUUAAAAUAAGUAUUUAACUGAUGGAAAGAUGGUCUUCCAUAAAACUAGGCUGUCUGAACAGUAGAGAGACGCAAUUACUUUAAAUUUUGGUGCUACAUGGCCAGAGAAAACAGAGAAAAAGGGCUGUUGCGUUUGACCAUUGCUCGAGAGGUAUAAAACCUACAGCUACCAUAAUGCAUUGCGCCGCAGCCUUACUCUGUUUCUGAUUGGCUCACCCUAAUCAAUCUCACCCCUUAUGCCUAAAACUAACCAAUCCAAACAACGAAGGCAGCAAGUACAAACCAAUCAGAGAAAGAGUAGGGCGGGUCUUGACUUCCCUAUGCGGUAAACGGAAAUUUACCUCUUGUUUGUGGGUGACGUUUGGCCGUUAAGUUAUGAGAAACAAAAUGGCGGCCGGCUGGUGACAACUCAUCUGGGCUCACAGUAAAACGGUAAGCUAAACUGUGUUUCUGUAAAGACCCGAGGCGGCAAUUAGGUAACGCGGUACCCGAAACUUAGCGCUGCUUAAUUUGACCGUUUUGUCCCAUUUUUUUCCCCCAGCCUUCGUUUUACACAAUACAGGAAACUGUAUGGCGCCAACUUCCGGUUUCGGUAUUACAGCUAAACAGUACGCUAAAAUAUGUAUCUGAAGACAUUCAAAACGGAAAUAGGCAACACAGUAACAGAAUCUUGGUUUGUAUUUGAUCAGCACUGCUUAGUUUUACUGUUUAAUUGGAGUUUGGUCUGUGUUUAAGAGAAAGGAGGGGGCGGGUUAUUCUCUUGAUCCUCUUCCAUACUCCUUGUGACAUAGUGGCAACUUACCAAACAUAGGAAAUUGCAGAACCUGUAGUUUGAGCAGCAGCCUUAGAGCCAGCAGGGAGAUAUUUGCCCUAAGAUGGAGGAAUGUUUACCACAUUUUAUUUACAUAUUAUCUAAACAAAGCUGGCUGAAAAUCGACACAGUAUCUCUCAUAUAUUAGACAUGAUAGCAUCAAUACAGUCUGCUCAGGAUGGUUUGUGUAACUGCAUUGCAGCAGUUCACACACCCUCAUUGUAAAUCCCCAAAAAUGACUAUAAGGCAGGAUGUCUUGUACCUCUAACAAAGGGAUAACAGCUAGGCACUGGGAACUAAAUGUUGUUUGGAAGUGCAAUAUUUAUAUUCACCCUUUUUUUUUUUAAUAUUACAGUGCUUUCUUUUGGGUUAUGUUUUAUUUUGUGACUGAGUUGUGACAAACCAGGACUUUUUGUGUCAGAGUAUGUGAUAAGCACACACACUAAACCCUUUGUGAGGUUCUGGCUUUUCACCUUCACUUGCUUUCUCACUAAACACACUUAAAGUGUGAAACUUUUUUUUGUUAUACUCACCACUUCAUCGCUGGACCACUUCUUUUCUUGAUCGUGCAGAUUUUUUUUAUGCCACAGACUGACAAAGAAACACCAGAGCAUAUCUGAGUUGAGCUCAGGUAUGUUGACAUAGUUUGAUAAUUUAUGUGCUCUGCUAUUGCACCUGUCCAAACACCAACAUUGUACUAAACACGUGGUUAACAUUUGUUUGCAUCAUCACAAUCUUUUCAUAUGCUCCCUCUUAUUGGCUAGUGAUUUAUAAUUUGUCAGAUGGUCCGCAAAAUCCCCAUAUGGUAGUUGAUUUAAAACGGUUAACAUUGUCUGUUCUUUACUGAACAUUUCAACCCAUUAUUUAUAAUGACAGGGGAUCAUUUUACUACUUCCUCCAUGGUUACAUUCGGAGAAGGCACUGGGUUUUCUUUUCUUUUUUCCCGUCUUAGCCCAUUUUCACUCUCCAGGACUUCAUACAAGAAGUUGUACAUAUUUAUGACAAGGAGAGUAUUUUUGAAUUGAAAGGAUAACUGAUUUGUUGUGAAUUUUUUUCACCCCAUAUUGGGGAGAACAUUUUUGUCAGGGGGGGGUCUCUGAAGGUCAAUUUUUACCUGUUAUGGUUUGUACUUUUAAAUAAAAUAUUUCCCUUUUUACA